rnacentral:rRNA from 1 species
GACGAACGCUGGCGGCGUGCUUAACACAUGCAAGUCGAACGGAAAGGCCCCUUCGGGGGUACUCGAGUGGCGAACAGGUGCGUAACACGUGAGUAACCUGCCCUUGACUUCGGGAUAACUUCAGGAAACUGGGGCUAAUACCGGAUAGGAAUCCUUGCUGCAUGGUGGGGGUUGGAAAGCUUCGGCGGUUUUGGAUGGACUCGCGGCUUAUCAGCUUGUUGGUGGGGUAGUGGCCUACCAAGGCUUUGACGGGUAGCCGGCCUGAGAGGGCGACCGGCCACAUUGGGACUGAGAUACGGCCCAGACUCCUACGGGAGGCAGCAGUGGGGAAUAUUGCACAAUGGGCGGAAGCCUGAUGCAGCAACGCCGCGGGCGGGAUGACGGCCUUCGGGUUGUAAACCGCUUUCAGCAGGGGCGAAGCUUGUGGUGACGGUACCUGCAGAAGAAGCACCGGCUAACUACGUG